ACGACUCUCGGCAACGGAUAUCUUGGCUCUCGCAUCGAUGAAGAACGUAGCGAAAUGCGAUACUUGGUGUGAAUUGCAGAAUCCCGUGAACCAUCGAGUUUUUGAACGCAAGUUGCGCCCGAAGCCUUUGGCCAGGGCACGUCUGCCUGGGCGUCACGCAU
rnacentral:rRNA from 1 species